rnacentral:ncRNA from 1 species
UCUUUGCCAAUGACCAAGAAAGUAGCAUUGACCUAUUCUGACAAGAGAGGGAAAGACCUAGGCUGAAAUCUUUCCUACAGUAAGUUUAUGUGAACAACACUUGAGAGGCUUUCCUUCGAACUACAUAUGUAAAAGUAGGGGGAAACGGAAUCGGCCGUUAUCCGAGAAUUGAGAGGGUGUACAUAAUUUAAACGAAAAGUACAUCAACUAGGGUGGAACCGCGGAAGUCAACAGCUUUCGUCCCUUGC